UCAAAAUAUACACCGACCUAAUUUAACAUAUAGUAGCCCAUCCCCAACCAAUACAUCAGCAUACCCACUUAAUUCUGAAAGACCCUAAGCGCGUAUACAGAGACAUGUACAUCCCCAACACAUAACGUAUCCUCCAAAAGACCCCGUACUCAUCUCCUUCUUCCUUAAGGAACCAAAGGCCCAGAACAAACCCAAAUGAUGCUGCUCGGUACAUCAUCUAGGCUAGCAAAAUCUUCAAAAAUCGUCCAAGUAUCUUAAUCUCAUCAUUGGUUUGUCCUUCUUCAAGUUCAAACGACUCUCAUUCUCAAGCCUGUGAGAAUUUGUUCACGAUUGUACAAAUUAUAGUGGUUUGACCUUAUCUCGAGAUUUUCCAGCGAAAUUUGAAUUUGAACCCCUAAUCCUAUCUGAUUUCCCCUCUCUAUUUCCCCCCAAAUCCUUUCCUAUAUAAACUCAUCUCUUCUUCAUUGAUAAGGGGGGGUCUGAAUACACAAAUUUCAUGAUAAAAACAUAGAUUUUUGAGAGCUAAGAGAGUUCCGAAGCAUUAUGAUUUCUUUAGAAAAGAGUUCUUUUCUUUCUUCGACUGCCUGAAUAUUCUUCGGAAACUGACGUAUUUCAAUCUUGGUGUGGAAUAGAUCACUUCAACUCGUCAUCCUAGUUCAUUUCACCUGAAAAGAAAAUUCAAGAACAAGAAAGAAGAGAAGAGAAGAAACUAGAGAGGGAGAGAGCCACGGUUUUGGAAGGAAACAAAAGCCCAAAACGUUAACAAACAGCCAUGAAAUUUUAGGCGUGCUAAAGGAACUUCCGAGGCAAGUUUCGAUGAGUUUGACGAGUUUCAGGCAAGGGAGAAUGCAUCAGCAUGGUUGGAAUUCACAUAUGAAGUUUCGUUGGAGUGUGGUAGUAUUCUGAGACCAUUUGGAUGGAAAAAGCUCUGGUUCCUUGAGUUGGAGCGCAUACGAUCAGCCUACAGGUCUGUGUACUAGCUAUCAACAUUGAUUUCAAGCAAGUUGCAGUCGUAAUCAGAGAUAAGGAUGAGCACACAGCGUUCUAGAUUUACCCAUCUCCCUCUGUAUAUAUAUAUUUUUUCUGUCUUUUGCUCUUUGAGAUAAUCUUGUUUCUGUGGUCCACUUUUGGGACUUGUACUCAUUUCGUAGUAGCUCUGUAUAUGUGACUUCCAGGUUUUGGGAGUAAUCUAUUGGUUUGUAUAUAUUUUGAUUUGCUU